AUUGAACGCUGGCGGCAGGCCUAACACAUGCAAGUCGAGCGGAUGAAGGGAGCUUGCUCCUGGAUUCAGCGGCGGACGGGUGAGUAAUGCCUAGGAAUCUGCCUGGUAGUGGGGGAUAACGUCCGGAAACGGGCGCUAAUACCGCAUACGUCCUGAGGGAGAAAGUGGGGGAUCUUCGGACCUCACGCUAUCAGAUGAGCCUAGGUCGGAUUAGCUAGUUGGUGGGGUAAAGGCCUACCAAGGCGACGAUCCGUAACUGGUCUGAGAGGAUGAUCAGUCAACAUGGAAACGGGAACAGGGCCCGGAUCCCUAGGGGGGGCAGAAGGGGGGAAUUUGGGCAAAGGGGGGAAACCCGAUCCAAGCCAUGCGGGGGGGGGAAAGAAGGGUUUGGGUUGUAAAGGCCUUUUAAGUGGGGAGAAAGGGAAGAAAGUUAAAACCUGGCUGUUUGGACGUAACCAAAAAAAAAAGACCCGGCAAACUUGGG
rnacentral:rRNA from 1 species